GUCAUUUAUGUUUUAGCUCAUUGAACAGGCAAAAGACGCAAACAAAGCAUUACAUGAAGACCCCAAGACCAACACACAAGAGGAGUAUGUACAGAGCUUCACCAGAUUCAUUGGCUCUCUGUUAAAUUGUGCACCGUCUAAGCGCAUGCUGACAUUCACCAGAGGGCUUCUAAACUAUGUGAUGGAUUUCUGCAAACAGUCUGAGCAGCCGAUGCCACAAGUAGAACGUCAACAGGUGGCACCACUUCAGAUAUUUCCCAUGGAGCAACCAUCUCAUUAUUUUGAAUAGCAGUCACUGAUGGGACAUCCACCACACAUGCGAAUGGGGGCACAACCACAUCUGCAGGCUGACCAGAGACAGUUAUCUAUGACACCACCACAGACAUACGUUAACCUACAGCCUGCAGGUUCA